GAUUAUGGCUCAGGAUGAACGCUAGCUACAGGCUUAACACAUGCAAGUCGAGGGGCAUCAUGAUCAAAGCUUGCUUUGAUUGAUGGCGACCGGCGCACGGGUGAGUAACGCGUAUCCAACCUUCCCCCCAGUAGGGCAUAGCCCGGCGAAAGUCGGAUUAAUACCCUAUGUUUUUCCAAUGAGGACAUCUGAGCUGGAACAAAGAUUUAUCGCUGGGGGAUGGGGAUGCGUCCGAUUAGGUUGUUGGCGGGGUAACGGCCCACCAAGCCCGCGAUCGGUAGGGGUUCUGAGAGGAAGGUCCCCCACACUGGUACUGAGACACGGACCAGACUCCUACGGGAGGCAGCAGUGAGGAAUAUUGGUCAAUGGGCGUAAGCCUGAACCAGCCAAGUAGCGUGCAGGACGACGGCCCUAUGGGUUGUAAACUGCUUUUAUGCGGGGAUAAAGUGAGGUAUGUAUACCUUUUUGUAGGUACCGCAUGAAUAAGGACCGGCUAAUUCCGUGCCAGCCGCAGC
rnacentral:rRNA from 1 species